GCCUGGCACGGUGGCCCGUGUCUGUAGUCCUAGCUACUCAGGAGGCUGAGGCUGGAGAAUCCCUUGAGUUCAGGAGUUCUGGGCUGUAGUGUGCUAUACCAAUCGGGCAUCCACACUAAGUUCAGUAUCAAUAUGAUGACCUCCCGGGAGUGGGGGACCACCAGGUUGCCUAAGGAGGAGUGAACCAGCCCAGGUCAGAAAUGGAGCAGGUUAAAAAUCCCGUGCUGAUCAGUAGUGGGAUUGCGCCCAUGAAUAGCCACUGCACUCCAGCCUGGGCAACAUAGUGAGACCCUGCCUCU
rnacentral:SRP_RNA from 1 species